UCCCUGGUAGUCCAGUGGACAAGACUUUGCACUCUCGAUGCAGAAGGCCCGGGUUCGAUCACUGGUCAGGGAA
rnacentral:tRNA from 1 species